GUACUUGCUUUGGCAGCACAUAUACUAAAAUUGGAAUGAUACAGAGAUUAGCAUGGCCCCUGCGCAGGGUGACGUGCAAAUUCGUGAAGCGUUCCAUGAAAAA
rnacentral:snRNA from 1 species